AGGNGNGGAGACAACAGGGAUUGCCUUAGUAACGGCGAGUGAAGCGGCAAACGCUCAAAUUUGAAAUCUGGCACCUCUGGUGUCCGAGUUGUAAUUUGGAGAGGCAUCUUCCGAAGGGGUCCAGCCUAUGUUCCUUGGAACAGGACAUCGCAGAGGGUGAGAAUCCCGUUCACGGCUGGAUACAUAUCCUUCAGUAGGUAGUGCUUUCUACGAGUCGAGUUGUUUGGGAAUGCAGCUCAAAACGGGUGGUAAAUUUCAUCUAAAGCUAAAUAUUGGCGAGAGACCGAUAGCGCACAAGUAGAGUGAUCGAAAGAUGAAAAGCACUUUGAAAAUAGAGUCAAACAGUACGUGAAAUUGUUGAAAGGGAAGCGCUUGAGAUCAGACUCAGCCUUGGGCAAACAACUUUCCUUCUGGGUGGUGCACUUGCUCUUGGCUGGGCCAGCAUCAGUUAGGGUGGUGGAAUAAAGGCCUGUGGAAUGUGACUCCACUUUGGAGUGUUAUAGCCUCGGGUGCCAUCCCACCUGCCCUGACUGUGGACCGCGCUUUGGCUAGGAUGCUGGCAUAAUGGUCUUUAGCGGCCCGUCUUGAAACACGGACCAAGGAGUCUAACAUCUAUGCGAUUNGGGGGGGGGNAAAA
rnacentral:rRNA from 1 species